rnacentral:rRNA from 1 species
AGUGAGAANGUGUUUUUUGGGGGGGGGAUCCGGAAGGAGCAUAA